UUUCUGUUAAAGUGAGUGAAUGUAAGACGAAAGUGUGCGUGAAUUCAAUAUUCACUCUUGAGAGUCAUUUGGACAAACCGGUUCACUCCGAACUGCAGCUGCGCGCAUGCAUGAAGGUGCACAGAACUUUCAUCACCAGGCUUAAAAGGACUACUACAUAUAGCUUAUCGCAGUUUUUGGCUAGAUGCAUGUAAAUCACGUGCGCUCGUUGUGAUCGUUUCCUCAUGACCAGUAACCCAAGGAAAGAAGCUGCUUUGGUGCUUGGUGCAAAUUGCCUUAAGUUUGAAGUCCAAGUAAUCUCAAGCGAUGAGUGAGGAUGAAGCAUCAGAGCCUUGCCAGGCUGCCACAUCUACAGAGGACACUUCACCAGUACUCAAGUGUGCGAUGUUGGAUGGCAAAUACUUUAAUAUAGUGACUCAGAUUCCACAUGGAAAUAUAGAGGCCGAGUGUCAGCUGUGCACAAGCAAAAAGGUUAUUAUAUGUGGCUCUCUUGCAGUGACAUCAAAUUUUAACACCCACUUGAAAUGAGGGCACCCUGAAAUACUAAAGGAAUAUGAGGAGCACAAAAAGGAGUUUGCCACUGGAGAAAGUAAGCAACUCAGGACCUCAUACAGACAGACUCAUCUUUUUGAGCAUGUACCAGUAGCAGUGACAAAAUAAAGUUGACUCUCUUGUAACAUCCUUUGUUACUAAAGGCAUGUACCCAUUGGCCGCUGUUGAACAAAAAUAAUUCAUAUAAUUAGCACAGGGCCUUUGCCAGGGUGCUUAUGUAAUGUCAAGGAGAACACUCAGAAGAAGAAUUGACGAGGAUUUUAGUACUAAAACAACAAACUUAAAGGAAAGACUUAAGAACAUACAAUAUGUAUGCACCACUGCUGAUAUCUGGUAAACAACAAAAAAAAGUAGUUACAUUGGAGUUUGUGUGAAUUGGAUGAAAACAGACACAUUAGAACGUGAAUCAGCUGCUCUUGCUUGCAGGUGUUUCCCCAGUCCACAUACCUAUAAUUGCAUUGCAGAACUUCUAGAGGAAAUCCAUACAGAAUAUGGACUAACUGACACUGUUGUGGCUACUGUAACUGACAAUGCAUCCAACUUCGCAAAAGCAUUUGAAGAGUUCAUUAUCACAGUUGUUUCAGAGGUACAAGAUGAGACAGAAGAGUAGGAACAGGAUAUUUCAUACAUUACAAUAGAUCCAUGAUAUAAGCACUAUGUUCCAAUUCUUCUGAAGUCAUACGAUAGUUUUAUGUGAGUAAUAGACUGAAAUUUAAAAUAAUAGAUCGCCUCUCAUCUUUUACUCACCCUCAUGCCAUUCCAGAUGUGUAUGAUGAAGAUUUUU